UGCAGUCUAAGAAGCAGACCCUACUAAGUCUGAGUCUAUUGUUUAGCACACAAAGAACUGGAACUUUUAACCAGGUCAUCUACUCAGGUUUACACUGGAUCAUCAUAAUAGAAGCAAGAUUCGAGUUUUCCACAGGCUUGUCUCACUACAGAAACAACACAAAUUCAUACAAAAAACUUUUGCAUUUUAUGAUAAGAUAAAGAAUUUUUCCUAGAGGUUUGUUUUUUGGGGAAAAUAUUAUGCAGUAAUGAU
rnacentral:lncRNA from 1 species